GAUGAACGCUGACAGAAUGCUUAACACAUGCAAGUCCACUUGAACUUCGGUUUGGGUGGCGGACGGGUGAGUAACGCGUAAAGAACUUGCCUCACAGAUAGGGACAACAUUUGGAAACGAAUGCUAAUACCUGAUAUUAUGAUUUUAGGGCAUCCUAGGAUUAUGAAAGCUAUAUGCGCUGUGAGAGAGCUUUGCGUCCCAUUAGCUAGUUGGAGAGGUAACGGCUCACCAAGGCGAUGAUGGGUAGCCGGCCUGAGAGGGUGAUCGGCCACAAGGGGACUGAGACGCGGCCCUUACGCCUACGGGAGGCAGCAGUGGGGAAUAUUGGACAAUGGACCAAGAGUCUGAUCCAGCAAUUCUGUGUGCACGAUGAAGUUUUUCGGAAUGUAAAGUGCUUUCAGUUGGGAAGAAAAAAUGACGGUACCAACAGAAGAAGUGACGGCUAAAUACGUG
rnacentral:rRNA from 1 species